AUUUUUUACCACAGACAUCUUUCGUCAUAAUGAUCAUAUCUGACGGUCGAAUUUUGGUUUGUGAAUUUUACUCAUUGGAAUCACAACGUGUCUACUAAUGUUCUAUAACUUGUUUAGUAGGUUAUACAACUUUGUGAACCAACUCUACAUAGGAAGCAAAAUUAUGAAAAAUCUCGUGAAAUAAGAUGUGUUCAAAAUGGUGAAAUACGGCUAUGGUUCAAAAAUCACGUAAAUCGGGUAAAGUCUCGGAGCCGAUAGUAGUGGUCAACCCUAUUUACCGUUAUUAUUCCUUAUGGGGAGCCCUAUCGUCGGAAGGUAAAUGUCUCAAAAUUUUUAUAUGGGCAGUUGCGUCUCAUCUACGUGAGAGUUUUUUGUAUGGAAGGUUUGACCAAAUUACGUAAUAUAGGGAGAGAUAUGAGCGUUUUCGUGAAUUUAUAGACUUUAGCCGACGAAAAUAUAUGAAAAGUCGUCGGCUAAGGUCAAAAAAUUUCAAAAUUUUUUAGGCGGUAAACCAAAGUUGGAGGAAAAUUUUCAAAGGACUUUAGCCGACGAAAAUAUAUGAAAAGUCGUCGGCUAAAGUCGAAAAAUUUUCAAAAUUUUCAAAAUUUUCAACCAAAAUUUUUUGGCGGUCAACCAAAAUUUUCAAAAGAGUUUAGCCGACGAAAAUAAAGAAUUUCGUCGGCUAAAGUUCUUUAUAUAGGCGAAGAUGGAUGGUAAGAAGUCUAUUAUCUGCCAGAUUUUCUUCUCGGCCUAGCUCCGCCGUCAAGCCACCGGAGACCGUCACACUUGUCCCAAAAGCUUCGCCGUCGUCUCUACUUCAUUGCUGGAUAGGUGGUGCAUCGAGUGGCGCCGCCGUGAGGGAUAAAUCGAGCUCCAAAACUCCGCCG
rnacentral:lncRNA from 1 species